rnacentral:rRNA from 1 species
CAGUAGCCACGGUAAUACGUAGGUGGCAAGCGUUGUCCGGAAUUAUUGAGCGUAAAGGGCUCGCAGGCGGUUUCUUAAGUCUGAUGUGAAAGCCCCCGGCUCAACCGGGGAGGGUCAUCGGAAACUGGGAAACUUGAGUGCAGAAGAGGAGAGUGGAAUUCCACGUGUAGCGGUGAAAUGCGUAGAGAUGUGGAGGAACACCAGUGGCGAAGGCGACUCUCUGGUCUGUAACUGACGCUGAGGAGCGAAAGCGUGGGGAGCGAACAGGAUUAGAUACCCCGGUAGUCCCUGUCUCUUAUAC